rnacentral:rRNA from 1 species
CAGUAGCCGCGGGAAUACGGAAGGUCCAGGUGUUAUCCGGAUUUAUUGGGUUUAAAGGGAGCGUAGGCCGCAGGUUAAGUGUGUUGUGAAAAGCAGUCGCCCAACGUCUGCCUUGCAGCGCAAACUGUCCUGUUUGAGUGCGCGCAACGCAGGCGGAAUUCGUCGUGUAGCGGUGAAAUGCUUAGAUAUGACGAAGAACUCCGAUUGCGAAGGCAGCUUGCGGGAGCGCAACUGACGCUGAAGCUCGAAAGUGCGGGUAUCGAACAGGAUUAGAUACCCCAGUAGUCCCUGUCUCUUAUAC